GCUUCUACAGGAUAAUAGUUAUCCCUUGGUCUUAGGAACCAAUGAUUCUUGGUGCAAAUCCAAGUGGUAGCU
rnacentral:tRNA from 1 species